rnacentral:piRNA from 1 species
CCCCAGCACUUGGUGACCUGUGGCUCACAUC